CCUACGGGUGGCAGCAGUGAGGAAUAUUGGUCAAUGGGCGUAAGCCUGAACCAGCCAAGUCGCGUGAGGGAUGAAGGUUCUAUGGAUCGUAAACCUCUUUUAUAAGGGAAUAAAGUGUGGGACGUGUCCUCUUUUGUAUGUACCUUAUGAAUAAGGAUCGGCUAACUCCGUGCCAGCAGCCGCGGUAAUACGGAGGAUCCGAGCGUUAUCCGGAUUUAUUGGGUUUAAAGGGUGCGUAGGCGGCCUUUUAAGUCAGCGGUAAAAUCGCGGGGCUCAACCUCGCUCCGCCGUUGAAACUGGCGUGCUGGAGUGGGCGAGAAGUAUGCGGAAUGCGUGGUGUAGCGGUGAAAUGCAUAGAUAUCACGCAGAACUCCGAUUGCGAAGGCAGCAUACCGGAGCCCAACUGACGCUGAAGCACGAAAGCGUGGGUAUCGAACAGGAUUAGAUACCCCAGUAGUC
rnacentral:rRNA from 1 species